AACAAUAAACAUAUUUUCAAUUUAAUUCAAAUUCUAGUCAGAUCACUGAAGCCAAGCACGGUCGGGCGCGGUUAGUACUUGGACGGGUGACCGCUUGGGAACACCGCGUGCCGUUGGCG
rnacentral:rRNA from 1 species